UACGUAGGGUGCAAGCGUUAAUCGGAAUUACUGGGCGUAAAGCGUGCGCAGGCGGUUUUGUAAGUUUGUCGUGAAAGCCCCGGGCUCAACCUGGGAAUUGCGAUGAAGACUGCAAGGCUAGAAUCUGGCAGAGGGGGGUAGAAUUCCACGUGUAGCAGUGAAAUGCGUAGAGAUGUGGAGGAACACCGAUGGCGAAGGCAGCCCCCUGGGUCAAGAUUGACGCUCAUGCACGAAAGCGUGGGGAGCAAACAGG
rnacentral:rRNA from 1 species